rfam:Schistosoma haematobium scaffold1032_14, whole genome shotgun sequence.
AGUUUUUGGAUCCGUGUCGACACUUCGUCAGACACCAGACCAUCAGUACAGAUGAGAUUCCCAAGAUAAGUGAAGCG